AGUUGACACUGGAAGCCAUGUCUUGGUCUGUGACUCUCUCAUUCUCCCACCACGGCAGAUUAGAGGGUACACCACAAACAGGACCAGGUUCGUGGAAAAAAUCACUCUGUUCAUCAUCAGCUGAAAUACAUGUAUAAGGAUUAUGAUUCUAUAAAGUACAUGUGGAUCAAUGCUACAGGACAAGUCAAUCUCAUUCAUGAAUUUUGCCAACUAAAUUUAAUUAUAACCUCAUUUGGUUCCUUAAUAUUCCAGUAUAAUUAGCAAGAUUAAUAAAAAUAUUAUGAAUUAA